rnacentral:rRNA from 1 species
UUGACCUAGAGUGACGUACGGGUGCGUAACACGUAUGCAACCUACCCAAAACUGGAGGAUAGCUCGGGGAAACUCGAAUUAACCCUCCAUAAGAUCAUAGAGUAGCAUUACUUUAGUGAUUAAAACUACGGUGGUUGAGGAUGAGCAUGCGCAUGAUUAGUUAGUUGGCGGGGUAACGGCCCACCAAGACGAUGAUCAUUAGGGGAACUGAGAGGUUGAUCCCCCACACUGGCACUGAGAUACGGGCCAGACUCCUACGGGAGGCAGCAGUAGGGAAUAUUGGACAAUGGGUGCGAGCCUGAUCCAGCCAUGCCGCGUGCAGGAAGACGGCCUUCUGGGUUGUAUACUGCUUUUGCCAGGGGAUAAAAAGUCCCUGCGGGGAAAAUUGAAGGUACCUGGUGAAUAAGCCACGGCUAACUACGUGCCAGCAGCCGCGGUAAUACGUAGGUGGCAAGCGUUGUCCGGAUUUAUUGGGUUUAAAGGGUGCGUAGGCGGCCCUGUAAGUCAGUGGUGAAAUAUGUCAGCUUAACUGAGAGGGUGCCAUUGAUACUGCAGAGCUUGAGUACAGAUGAGGUAGGCGGAAUUGACGGUGUAGCGGUGAAAUGCUUAGAUAUCGUCAAGAACACCUAUAGCGAAGGCAGCUUACUAGGCUGUAACUGACGCUGAGGCACGAAAGUGUGGGGAUCAAACAGGAUUAGAUACCCUGGUAGUCCACACUGUAAACGU